rnacentral:lncRNA from 1 species
CCCAGUCUUGAGUAUGUCUUUAUCAGCAGUGUAAAAACGGAUGAACAUACACCGUAAAUGUGACUUUUAUCAUUCAUUUAAGCAUCCUGUUUAUAAAAAUGUAAAUAAUCCAUUUUCACAUAUGCUGUGUUUUCGAUAAAAUAACUUGCUUAAAUCCAAUCCUGGCAUCAUAGAUAAUUUAAGCCAUGGUUUUCUGAUCCCGUCCUCUUUUGUGACUCCAGUCCCACAGACAGGAACCAAAGCCAGCAGAACAAAGCAGCCCCAGAUGUGUUCUACUCUAUUAUCUGAAGUAAAUGAAAAUCAACCCUGAGAAAUAUCAAUAAUAGUGGAAAGUCUCCCACUCUACUUCUACAUAUAUCCUAGUACUGUGUGUGUCAAUCUCAUAUUCUACUGUUGGCCAUGCUGUGUUUCACUGAGAAAAUGGCAAUACUGGUGCUGCUUAUAUAUAAGGUAGGAUUCCCCUCUCACAGAUAGCCACAGCUUUCUUUAAAAGAAGGUACAUUUCCCGAGGAUUAAUCAUUAGGGAAAUUAUUGGUUUCUCCAUUAGCCAGAGUUGUGCAUCACCAGCAACAGAAACCAGCUAUAGCUGACUUAAAGGGAAAAGAAACAUAAAUAUUGGAUAGCUCACAAUAUCAUAAAGAUGACUGAAGAGAUGGUGAGAGAAACAUAAACUAUUUGUAAAUUCUACUCAUUUCCUCCAUAAAAGGGAAUGCAAAAUGUCAUUGAUUUGGGUUAGUUGUACUUCCUAUAUUACAUAAGUAUCACGAUUUGGGGUGACUUUUUACAAGGAGAUAGCAUUAUUUAAUCGUUUUUGAUUUGGGGAGUUAAAAAAGUAUCUUUGCUUUUUGUGCUGGUAGGUGCAUUAUAGGGUCUAAAGUUUUUUUCCUACCUUCCUUCUCACAGGUAGAGAACCUCCUUCUACUACCAUCAAAGUCCUUGAUCUGUUUCCCAACAUGAAUUAACCUUUCCAUGUUUUCGUUACAUUUGAACAUCAGGAAUGUGUAGACGGAAGCAGUUCAUCCUGGGAGGACUUCAAGCAGUAGAAUGAGGCCAACCUGCAAAACUGACCUGUCAUGCCCUGCCUCACCAUCUUAUCCAGUCCUGGACUCAACCAGCUGAACUAAUCCCUAAACCACCAAGUCUACCUUAGAAAAACAGUUCUGGAGGCUGCAAGUCCAAGAUCAAGGUGUCACCAUCAUUGGUUGCUUCUGGGGGCUGUUGAGAAAGAACGUGUUCCAUGCCUCCCACCUAGCAUCUAAAGGACCUAAAUGAAAGUGAUAUUCCUGCCUCUCUCUACCCAUUUUCCUUCCUGGAAAGCAGAAGUGACAUCUUAUUGAUGAGUUGUGGAGAAGCUGCUGAACAUGCAUCUGUAUUUGGGAGACUGUCUGCAGAGAGUACAUAUUCUCAGCUCCUACAAGCUAUAAAGCACUUAGGAUCCAUUGUGUCAGAGCGUGUAACAGGGACCAUGUAAGAGUUUCUAUUUAUAUUUUAUUAUAUUAAUAUCUAUUUACUUUACAUUUUAUUUUUUUAUAAAACAGAAACCUGAAAGAAAUAUGGCAAAAUGUUGAUACUUAAAUAUUAGUAUUGGCUACAUGAGUGUCAUCUUGUUUGCUUUGUUUUUUUAUAUGUUUAAAAAUUAAAUACAAAAAUGUAUGCAACUAUAAGAGUCUAAUAAAUAAAAAUGUAUAAAACUAUAGGUGAUUAAAAAAAUUUAUCUAUUAUUUUUUCUAUCUACAGCAACUCAACAUUUCCUACUAAAUACGGUAAUGACAAUUAUAAUCUCCUAUUUAAAUGUAUUAUAUACAUAUAUUCAGCCUUUAGAAGUGGCUUUAAAGUGCAUCAUUUGAAUUUAUUAAGGGCAUUGCUCUAGAUUGCACGUCUGGUAAGUGCUGUUUGUGGGACUCUAAGGCAUGUCUUCUGAAUACAACUUCUAUGCUUUUUAAAGACACUUAACAGACAAACAUAAUUAGAAUGCUAUGGAGUUUGAAAUGUUCAUUAUAUUGUCUUUUUAAAAAAUCAGAAUAUAUAAGAAAAACCAUUUAGAAAAACAAACCAUUUCGAUGAAAGCUUGAUGAUAGCAACACCCAAAAAAGGCAGCAACAGCCCAGAUGUCCUCAUAGGUGGACAUUUUUCUCUACACCUUCUUCACCAGACACCAUUUUUCCGCAAAUUACUGCAUCAAUGCUCCAAUUCUCUGUUAUCUUUCCUAUAUUCCUUUAUUCACUUUGUUCCUUCUUCUUACAGAAGUCAAUUCUUGCUUCUCUAGCACAAUGUGCUCAGACUUGUCCUACAAAUAAGAGAUUCUAGGCCUGUUUACCCCACAAACUGGACAGCAUCCAUGUAUCCUCCCCACUUGCCAUUUUUGUUUCUAAUGAUCCCUGGAUCACCACAUAAUCCUCUAACAUUGACCCACUGACCUGGAACUAAUGUAGUAGACCUGGAUCCACUGACUCACUGAUCUAAUGUAGUCUCUACUAGUCUCUAUUAGUUUUCCUUACUUCAAGAAUGCAAACAAAAUGUCGAAUAUUAUCCCCUAAAAUUAAAGUAAAACUCCUGACAAUGUUUAAAAAACAGGAGUGUAUAACUGUCAUUACACUGCUACAUUCUGAAUCACUGAUUAGAAUUUGGAAGUGGAAAUUUGAAGAUACAGGUUUUUUUUUGGUAUAGGUAUGUAUUCUGUGUCCUAAAUUUACCUGUAUUUCAGAAAUAUAUCAUGGAAGCUACAUUCAAUAUUAAACAGAUUAUUUUAUUAUUAAAGAAAUAUCAUUCCAGAAUUUAAUGUAUCAUCAAUAAAGCUCUCCAAAGAAAACUGCAUUUUGUGCUUGUACACCUUCUUUAGCAGCCGCUUCUUGUACUAUAGUUUGAGUAAAACUAAAAUUAUGCCCCUACCGUUGACUAAAUUUCCCAAAGCAUUGGAUGUUUAAUUGAAAUUUAUUUAUAUUAUUUUAAGUUUUCCCAGCAUAUGGAAGAAAAGUGAAGUAUCUCUGAAAGAAAGGAAUUUAAAAUGUUGUUAAAAGUAUUUAACAUUAAGUAUUUAUAUUUUGCCUAAAUAAGACAGUAUUAACUACUGCUUUCCCUUAGGCAAGGCAUAAAUAUCUCAUAUACGAGAAUAAAAAGAAAGUAAACUAUUAUUGAAAUCAAUACAAAAGGAAAAAAGCUAUAUCAUAUUUGUCUAUAAAAAGUAGAAAUGACUUCAGCAAAUGAGCUGAAGUUCAAUAUAAAUUAAAUUAAAAUUUCAAUGUCAUUCAUGCAUGUGUAUAUAAACGUAACUGAAACAAAGACAGAAAUGUUAAUAGUUACUAUCUCUGGGUAAUGAGAUUAUGACUUAUUCCUAUUACUUACUUUAUAAUUUACUAAUUUUGUAAAUUUUCUGAAAUGGGCAUGUGUUACCACAGUAAUAAAAAAUUUAUUUAAAAGAUAACACCAUCUAUGCUAUAAAAACCUAUAUGUGCAUUUCUAGUAACAUUGCCAAUACAGUGAAUCUAAGACUUAAGUCAUGAGCAUUGUCCUGUUGUCAGAAAUAUAUGUCAACAUGUUGUGGUCCUCUGCUGAAAUACAUGAGAUCCUGAAUUAUAUUUUGAAGAAAAAUAAGUAGCUAAUAUCAGUGCCCCCUAACAUGACUCAAGACCACCAGACUUUGAGAUACAAAAUGCAAGAAUUUAAAAAGUUUAGUUUCAUACUGUUAAAAACAAUCAAUAUAGAAGAAAAAGGAAAAUAUGCUUUUUAUAUGUAGCAGUUUUGUUUUAAGGUAGGAUUCCUCAGUAUGCACAUAUACACAUAACACAUCACUUAACAUUGAAAGAGAAACACAGGUGUCAGUGAAAGGAUGGGCAACUGACUCCUACUUAAUAGGAUGAUUCCUCUUAAUGCCUACAGAGAGAGUAGAAUCAUAUUAUCUCAAGGCAUGGAUUCUUAUCCCUACCUAUUAUACCCAGUAGGACCAUAGGCCAAUUACCAUUACAAUGAACCCCAGGGAUUUUUCCAAUUCUCAGGUUAUACUGAGUUGUUUUCAUACCCAGGAGUCAACAGUUAACCAGUAAAUACUUCUUGCUUUCCUUCUGUGUUUCACGCGCUGAUCUAGGAGCUGGGAAUAUGGAAUGUGUACCACAGGAAGCUAACAUUCUAAAAAGGGAGGCAGGCAAUCAACACAUAAAUAAAUACUGCAUAAGACAAUUUCAGAUACAGGUGUGAACUGAGAAGAUGAAAUAGGAUAAUGAGAGGGUAUGUGAGGAGAAGGUUGUUGCUAUAGUUAUGAUAGUUAAGGAGUGUCUCUUUAAAGAGAGGAGAAGAAAUGAUCACUGUAAGGUCGAUGGUCUGAGUAACUAGGUGGAUGGUGAUAUCAUUUUAAGGUGAUUGGUAAGCUUGCCUGGGUGGGAAGUGGAUUUCAUCAGUCUGUGUGGGAAAUCACUCAUUCUAAUUCGGUCCAGUUCAUUUUAAUAUGUGAAUUAGUCAUCCAAGUGGAAAUAUGGAAUAGGAUAUAUGAGUCUGUAGCUCUGCAGAGAAUCACAGGAUGGGCGAAAGAUUUUUUUUAAAAAAUAGUUAGAGUCAUAAAAGUUCAGAUACAGAAGAUAACAGGAAAAGAGGCUCUGAGCACGGCAACAAAGGUUUGGUAGGGAAGGAGUACCAAGAGAAGACACUGAGAAGGUGUAGACAUGGGGUAGUGAGAAAACUAGGUGAAUGUGGUGCCAAAAAUUUAAAGAAGAAAAUGUUUAAAUGAGGGAGUUCUCAGCCUAUUCAAAUGCUUCUGAGAGGAUAAGGAGAGAAAACUGACAGUGAUUUUAUUUUAGCAGGGCACAAUGAUGACCUUGAUAAGAACCGUUUGAGUGGAGUAAACACUGACUGGAGUGAGUUGAAGAGAAAAUAAGAGGUGGAAAAAAUACAGAUACAUACCGGAUAAGAUUUUACAAUACCUCAAAGGCUUAUUUCUGAAGGUAGUCAACUGAGGACUGUCCUAUAAAAAUUAAGGGGCAGAUUCACUGUGAGACAAAGCUAUCUCGAAGUAAUCUCAAGCAAAAUCAGAAGUGAAAAAAAAGUAGAAAUGAGGGCUGGCAUAGAAGGUAAUUUACUAUCUAGUUACAACUCUAGUUAGAUUAAUCAGGGAACUCUGUGGCUGUUGUCCUUAUACCUUACAGUGAGGAGCAUAGUUUCAAAAUGCUUGUCAGGAUACUUAAAAACUAUACCCUAUAUCCUUGAUAGAAAUAACCAAAAGUAGAAGAGGGCUACUUCUGUUAGCAAUUACAGCAGUUUGCAAGGAAGAGAGACUUCCUUCUCACAAUUCUAAGACAGGAGACCGUCUCAAGAUAGAAAAUGGCUACAAAUAAAUAUAGUAAAUUCCACAAGAGGCCAUCAAACUUAACGUAACUGAAGCCAAUUAUUUUUUCUGUAAGUAUACAUGGACCUCUUUUUCCCCAAGGGAAUCAUGGCUCUGUUUGGACUUUCCUGUUAGGAAUUUUUAAAAGUAAGGUUUUACUUCUGGCAUCUAGAAUAAAACAAGACAAGAGCUUAUGUAUUAUCAUGAAUAAUAUUCGUUUCUUCCACAAUAAUUUAUUUAUUUCCUGUUGGGUUCAGCUCUGAAAUGUCAGAUUGUUAUGUGGCAAGUUCAGAAGAUGAUUCAAGCCAUACAAAUGAGAAAUACGCUUUAUUCUUAGUGCCAAUGUCUAAAAGAAAGCAAAGUAAUUUAAAUCAGUAAAAACUUUUAAUUCUAAAGAAGCAGGCAGAACUUGAAAUCUCUUCAUUAGCUCUCUUACUAAUAGUAGUUACGUUUAAAAAGAAAAGGUAUCAGGGAUGGUCACUGCUGUAUCCCCAGUGCCUACAAUGAUGCCUGGCUCAUCCUGUAUGACUGAUGAAUAUCAUGUAUUACCUAACAUAAUCUUUAUAACAAUCCUGUUCAUGAAGAUUAUGGGAGAUAAUGUGUGUUAUUCAUGCAUAUAAACUCUGUGAGUGAAUAUUAUUUUCUCUGUCUUAGAAGUGAUGAGAAAGGUUUUUUAACUUGGUCAGUUUACAAAGCAAGUAAGGCAGAGAACAAGAUUUGAAGAUAGGUCUUUCUUUUUCAAAUGUCUCUGCCCUUGGCCAAGCUGCAAAAAUGCCUUAAGUAGGUGAUUUUGAUUUCUGUUAACUGGCCAUGAAAAGUAUCAUGUUAACUCUAUAUUGAAGUAAUCUAUUUAAAGGCAAUUUUUAUAAUCCUCAUGUGUCUUUACUCUUACAGAUACAAAGGAUAAUGUUUCCUUGUAUAAGCCAUACUUUGAAUUAUCUCACACUUAAUAAUUCAACUCGGUUUCCACAGUGAAGUGGCAGAUUCACUAUUAAACUUCUCCUAUUCACAGGUCCUACACCCCAUCCUCCAUUCUUUGAGCACCCUAUCCUCCCUCCAUUCUCUCCUCAUUCUUUGAGAGGACAGUGUGGCAGUCCUCCCAGAACAAUUAUCUCUGUUUCUGGGCAGAUUCAGAGCUAUUGCUGGCUGGAAAACACCCACAUAAUGAAUGCACCAUACCUGCUCCCAGGACUGGGCUUGCAAGACCCUACAGAGGUGGCCUUUCAGUUGCAUUAUAAUUCAGGUCCUAGGCACAGUGCUUGUUCCCCAGUGAGUUUGCUGGUAAAACAAUUAUUUCCCUGGUC